rnacentral:lncRNA from 1 species
AAGCCCACCCCAACAGUAUGUACAUUACCAGUUCAUCCCUAGUACUGUAAAUCUGACCAAAAACCCAUGACUGGAGCACUCACAGACCUAAGGAAUGAACCUACUAUUCUUCCGCUAAAUGGACAUAGUAUCACAUUGCCUUCAAACCCCUCUCUCUCUUAACCCUAACUUACCUACAGAUUAGUUUAGCCUUUAGACCUCAUCACAGUGAGGGUUUCUGUACAAUGGAUGGUAGUAAACUCACAACUGAUCAAAGUGCAGAGAGUAAUAAGUGUCUGAGGAGUACUCAGCUACAAACGGCAUCUGUAUGGAACGUCCAUGAAGCUCAGGGACUAUGCACAAGAGGGGGCAGAAAAUCAGUAAGAGCUAGAGGCUAGAGAACAGUGUCUUUUUGACAUGACUCACAUAGCAGUUAUGGCUGCCCACACAAAACCUGCACAAAGUCAAACUAGUAAACAUUCCAGCAUGGAGAAGGAAGAAGUUCAAACGCUCCCACCCCUAACUGAAGAGGUUCUAAGAGCUGAUGGCUUCCGGGGGAAGAGACAGUUUUUGUUUUUUUUUGGGGGGGGGGGUUGUUUCUUUGUUUGUUUGUUUUUUAAUUUUUAUUAGAUAUUUUCUUCAUUUACAUUUCAAAUGUUAUCCCAAAAGUCCCUUAUACACUCCCCCCACCCACCCUGCUCCCCUACCCACUCACUCCCACUUCUUGGCCCUGGUGUUCCCCUGUACUGGGGCAUAUAAAGUUUGCAAGACCAAGGAGCCUCUCUUCCCAGUGAUGGACGACUAGGCCAUCUUCUGCUACAUAUGCAGCUAGAGACACGAGCUCUGGGGGCACUGGUUAGCUCAUAUUGUUGUUCCACCUAUGGGGUGAGCCAGUUUUCUUUACAGGUUCCUGUAGGGCUCCAGUGGAUGGCCCUGAGCCCAUCUACAGGUCCUGGACUUAUGAGUAACUCUGUGGGUUUUUGUAAAGAGGUGGGCAGUGAGUAGAUCUGGAAGGAAGAGGUGGUGACUAUGAUCAAUACACACUGUAUACAAUUCUUAAAGGAUUAUAAAGACAUUAAACUAAUAAGGGGGAAGCAGGCUAUGGAAAUGGAGGCACUUGAGGUACUUUUGCCUCCCCUCUCAAUGUAAUUUUCCUUGCUUCUUUUAAGAGCUCUAUGGAGGACCAGGGAAAGAAGAGAACAGGUAGAAAGAAGUAUUAGCCAAGCAGGCUGGACAACCUGAGCUCAAUCUCCAGGACACAUAAUCAAGAGUUGUCCUCUGACCUCCACACAAGAAGCUUGACACUCAAGGGCAUGGGUGUGCAUCUGUGUGUGCUUACACAUACAACUGAUGUUUUUGUUGUUGUUGAUUUUAUGAAGCAUUCUAAAUAUAGCUCACCUCUGUAUCCUCUGUGGUUCCAGUUCCAGCUGAACUUGUCACAAUCCCAAAUCUCUCCUUCCGUUUCUUCAGCUUCUCAUCAUCCUCAGACUGCCAAUGGAUAAAGACAACAGCAAAUCAAGUUAGACUCUAUUUACAAAGUCUACAAGAAUAAAAAUGUAAUUUAUUGGUUACAUUAUGCAAGCGAAUCUUAUAUCAAGAGCUGAGAAUCACACAAAUGCAAAAGACAGAAAAGAAAGUAAAUAAUAACCACCUGGGCAUGGUGGCACACACAUUUAGUCCCAGCACUGGGGAGAAAAAAGCAGGCGGAGCUCUGUGAGUUCGAGGCCAGCCUGGACUACAAAGCAAGUUCAGGACAGCCAGGGCUACACAGAAAAACCCUGUCUUGAAAAAACAGAAACAAAAACAAAAACAAAACAGACCACCUAGUAAUAUAGUUUACUUGCACUUUGGCCCCAAGGACUCAUGUGUUCUAAGUCUGGGACUAGAAACUUGACAGUGGCAGUAAGUGGUGAGACCUUUAAGAGGUUGGACAUAACAGGAGUUGUCUAGGUCAGGGGUGGUAUCAUUUCAGAAAGGAUUAAGGUUGUUCUUACAGAACUCUGAGUUGAUUCUUGACAAAAUAAAGUAUUCAAAGGGG